rnacentral:rRNA from 1 species
UCAGGUGGCUAUUGCACCGGGGUUCCACCUCUUUCCAUUCCGAACAGAGAAGUUAAGCCCGGUCACGCCGAUGGUACUGCGUAACAGUGGGAGAGUAGGUAGCCGCCGUCUUUUUU